rnacentral:tRNA from 1 species
GGAGGGUUGGCCGAGCGGUUGAAGGCAGCAGUCUUGAAAACUGCAGUGGGGGGAACUCCACCGGGGGUUCGAAUCCCUCACCCUCCGCCA